rnacentral:rRNA from 1 species
CCAGGCUUGAACUGCCAGUGACCACACCCGAAAGGGUGCUUCCGCAAGGACACUGGUAGAGGUGCUGCAUGGCUGUCGUCAGCUCGUGUCGUGAGAUGUUGGGUUAAGUCCCGCAACGAGCGCAACCCUUGUCUGCUGUUGCCAUCACGUUAUGGUGGGCACUCUGCAGAGACUGCCGGUGAUAAACCGGAGGAAGGUGGGGAUGACGUCAAGUCAGCAUGGCCUUUAUGUCUGGGGCUACACACGUGCUACAAUGGCAGAUACAAACCGUCGCGAGACCGCAAGGUGGAGCUAAUCGGAGAAAGUCUGUCUCAGUUCGGAUCGUAGGCUGCAACUCGCCUGCGUGAAGUUGGAAUCGCUAGUAAUCGCGGAUCAGCACGCCGCGGUGAAUACGUUCCC